rnacentral:sRNA from 1 species
UUUGAUUUUUUCUUUUGUCAAGAGUUGCCUUACCAUACAAGCUGCUGUGAGGAUCAAAAAGCUAAUAAAUAGCAUGAACGAAUUUUGAAAAGUGCAAAUGCUAAACAAAUGUAAAGUGGUAUGGCUUGUGAAGUGUGCUUGGGUUUAUAAGUGAUCAUUACUUGAUUUUAUGAGCUGUUCGUAUUAUCAGAAGUAAUGAAAUCAGAUUAUCUGUACUUGUGUAAAUGAGGGAAUCUUAAUUCCCCUCGUUCCUACACUCAGUUUUGUCUAAACAAGGCCAUGUGCAGUUAUAUAUACCUGACCUUUUUUCCCCCAUAUCUUUCAGAAAGCUGUGAGAAUAGAUGUCAGUCAUGGGAAUGCUAACGAAAAUGUUUCAUGUUUCCAGAUAUAUAGAUCAGGGUCGAAACCCCCAGCUCUACACCAAAGAGUGCCUGGAGAGGGCUCUAGCUAAAAAUGAGCAAGUUAAAGGCAAGAUCGACACCAUGAAGAAAUUUAAAAGCCUGUUGAUUCAAGAACUUUCUAAAGUAUUUCCGGAAGACAUGGCUAAGUAUCGAAGCAUCCGGGGGGAGGAUCACCCACCUUCUUAACCAGCUUGCCCUCCCUGUGUGAAGAUCCCCCGUGACUGUGAUGCGGCGUGAGGCUGGGACUGCGAGCGCUGACGCCACCUUCCUGCUGAGGUGGGAUUGGGCCCUGGACACACCCCUCAGCCCCUCUGUUCUCAUUGUUUGGCCUCAUGGGACGGAGGGGCUGGAGGAGAGGCGGAGCUGUGCCCCAGCUGUUCCAGCAGCUUGUCCGGCGUCAACUGGCUCUGAGUGCUGACCCCUCGUCACUGUGGGGAUCAUUCUCUCUGCGGGCAGAUGAGGUGCAGGAAAAUAGGCUUGGAAAUGUUAAAUAUGAUGGGUAAAUUAAAAGUUUUACAACAU